rnacentral:snoRNA from 1 species
GUGAGGUGAUGACGAAGUUUAUCCAUUCUCUGAGUGCAGCGGUGCUGCCCUCCUGCAGCACCCCGGUUCCUGUCCUAGGGUCUGGGUGCUGCGCGGCCUCUGGGUGCUGCCCGGCCUCCAGACACCCUCCAGUCCCCAGUGUCCUACUGGGGCUGCUGUGGUGUGUGGCUGGCUGCCUGCAGGAGGGGAGUGGUGCUGGCAGGGCUGGAGCCCCCCUUCUGGGGGCGCUCUGUCCUCACCGAGAUGAGGGAUGAUGUCUGAUCAC